rnacentral:rRNA from 1 species
GGUUAAGCGACUAAGCGUACACGGUGGAUGCCCUGGCAGUCAGAGGCGAUGAAGGACGUGCUAAUCUGCGAUAAGCGUCGGUAAGGUGAUAUGAACCGUUAUAACCGGCGAUUUCCGAAUGGGGAAACCCAGUGUGAUUCGUCACACUAUCAUUAACUGAAUCCAUAGGUUAAUGAGGCGAACCGGGGGAACUGAAACAUCUAAGUACCCCGAGGAAAAGAAAUCAACCGAGAUUCCCCCAGUAGCGGCGAGCGAACGGGGAGCAGCCCAGAGCCUGAAUCAGUGUGUGUGUUAGUGGAAGCGUCUGGAAAGGCGCGCGAUACAGGGUGACAGCCCCGUACACAAAAAUGCACAUGCUGUGAGCUCGAUGAGUAGGGCGGGACACGUGGUAUCCUGUCUGAAUAUGGGGGGACCAUCCUCCAAGGCUAAAUACUCCUGACUGACCGAUAGUGAACCAGUACCGUGAGGGAAAGGCGAAAAGAACCCCGGCGAGGGGAGUGAAAAAGAACCUGAAACCGUGUACGUACAAGCAGUGGGAGCCUCUUAAUGGGGUGACUGCGUACCUUUUGUAUAAUGGGUCAGCGACUUAUAUUCUGUAGCAAGGUUAACCGAAUAGGGGAGCCGAAGGGAAACCGAGUCUUAACUGGGCGUUAAGUUGCAGGGUAUAGACCCGAAACCCGGUGAUCUAGCCAUGGGCAGGUUGAAGGUUGGGUAACACUAACUGGAGGACCGAACCGACUAAUGUUGAAAAAUUAGCGGAUGACUUGUGGCUGGGGGUGAAAGGCCAAUCAAACCGGGAGAUAGCUGGUUCUCCCCGAAAGCUAUUUAGGUAGCGCCUCGUGAAUUCAUCUCCGGGGGUAGAGCACUGUUUCGGCAAGGGGGUCAUCCCGACUUACCAACCCGAUGCAAACUGCGAAUACCGGAGAAUGUUAUCACGGGAGACACACGGCGGGUGCUAACGUCCGUCGUGAAGAGGGAAACAACCCAGACCGCCAGCUAAGGUCCCAAAGUCAUGGUUAAGUGGGAAACGAUGUGGGAAGGCCCAGACAGCCAGGAUGUUGGCUUAGAAGCAGCCAUCAUUUAAAGAAAGCGUAAUAGCUCACUGGUCGAGUCGGCCUGCGCGGAAGAUGUAACGGGGCUAAACCAUGCACCGAAGCUGCGGCAGCGACGCUUAUGCGUUGUUGGGUAGGGGAGCGUUCUGUAAGCCUGCGAAGGUGUACUGUGAGGUAUGCUGGAGGUAUCAGAAGUGCGAAUGCUGACAUAAGUAACGAUAAAGCGGGUGAAAAGCCCGCUCGCCGGAAGACCAAGGGUUCCUGUCCAACGUUAAUCGGGGCAGGGUGAGUCGACCCCUAAGGCGAGGCCGAAAGGCGUAGUCGAUGGGAAACAGGUUAAUAUUCCUGUACUUGGUGUUACUGCGAAGGGGGGACGGAGAAGGCUAUGUUGGCCGGGCGACGGUUGUCCCGGUUUAAGCGUGUAGGCUGGUUUUCCAGGCAAAUCCGGAAAAUCAAGGCUGAGGCGUGAUGACGAGGCACUACGGUGCUGAAGCAACAAAUGCCCUGCUUCCAGGAAAAGCCUCUAAGCAUCAGGUAACAUCAAAUCGUACCCCAAACCGACACAGGUGGUCAGGUAGAGAAUACCAAGGCGCUUGAGAGAACUCGGGUGAAGGAACUAGGCAAAAUGGUGCCGUAACUUCGGGAGAAGGCACGCUGAUACGUAGGUGAAGUCCCUUGCGGAUGGAGCUGAAAUCAGUCGAAGAUACCAGCUGGCUGCAACUGUUUAUUAAAAACACAGCACUGUGCAAACACGAAAGUGGACGUAUACGGUGUGACGCCUGCCCGGUGCCGGAAGGUUAAUUGAUGGGGUUAGCGGUAACGCGAAGCUCUUGAUCGAAGCCCCGGUAAACGGCGGCCGUAACUAUAACGGUCCUAAGGUAGCGAAAUUCCUUGUCGGGUAAGUUCCGACCUGCACGAAUGGCGUAAUGAUGGCCAGGCUGUCUCCACCCGAGACUCAGUGAAAUUGAACUCGCUGUGAAGAUGCAGUGUACCCGCGGCAAGACGGAAAGACCCCGUGAACCUUUACUAUAGCUUGACACUGAACAUUGAGCCUUGAUGUGUAGGAUAGGUGGGAGGCUUUGAAGUGUGGACGCCAGUCUGCAUGGAGCCGACCUUGAAAUACCACCCUUUAAUGUUUGAUGUUCUAACGUUGGCCCCUGAUCGGGGUUGCGGACAGUGUCUGGUGGGUAGUUUGACUGGGGCGGUCUCCUCCUAAAGAGUAACGGAGGAGCACGAAGGUUGGCUAAUCCUGGUCGGACAUCAGGAGGUUAGUGCAAUGGCAUAAGCCAGCUUGACUGCGAGCGUGACGGCGCGAGCAGGUGCGAAAGCAGGUCAUAGUGAUCCGGUGGUUCUGAAUGGAAGGGCCAUCGCUCAACGGAUAAAAGGUACUCCGGGGAUAACAGGCUGAUACCGCCCAAGAGUUCAUAUCGACGGCGGUGUUUGGCACCUCGAUGUCGGCUCAUCACAUCCUGGGGCUGAAGUAGGUCCCAAGGGUAUGGCUGUUCGCCAUUUAAAGUGGUACGCGAGCUGGGUUUAGAACGUCGUGAGACAGUUCGGUCCCUAUCUGCCGUGGGCGCUGGAGAACUGAGGGGGGCUGCUCCUAGUACGAGAGGACCGGAGUGGACGCAUCACUGGUGUUCGGGUUGUCAUGCCAAUGGCACUGCCCGGUAGCUAAAUGCGGAAGAGAUAAGUGCUGAAAGCAUCUAAGCACGAAACUUGCCCCGAGAUGAGUUCUCCCUGACUCCCUGAGAGUCCUGAAGGAACGUUGAAGACGACGACGUUGAUAGGCCGGGUGUGUAAGCGCAGCGAUGCGUUGAGCUAACCGGUACUAAUGAACCGUGAGGCUUAACCUU